rnacentral:rRNA from 1 species
UACGUAGGGGGCAAGCGUUGUCCGGAUUUAUUGGGUUUAAAGGGUGCGUAGGUGGUCUAUUAAGUCAGUGCUGAAAUAUCCCGGCUUAACCGGGAGGGUGGCAUUGAUACUGAUGGACUUGAGUGGAGUCGAGGUAGGCGGAAUUGACGGUGUAGCGGUGAAAUGCUUAGAUAUCGUCAAGAACACCGAUAGUGCAGACAGCUUACUAGGCUCUAACUGACACUGAGGCACGAAAGUGUGGGGAUCAAACAGG